rnacentral:rRNA from 2 species
CACACAGUAAACGAUGAAUACUAGCUGUUUGCGAUAUAUUGUAAGCGGCCGAGCGAAAGCAUUAAGUAUUCCACCUGGGGAGUACGUCGGCAACGAUGAAACUCAAAGGAAUUGACGGGGGCCCGCACAAGCGGAGGAACAUGUGGUUUAAUUCGAUGAUACGCGAGGAACCUUACCCGGGCUUGAAAUGCAGAUGAUCGAAGUGGAGACACUUUUUCCAGCGAUGGCGUCUGUGUAGGUGC